AACGUAGGUGGCGAGCGUUAUCCGGAUUCAUUGGGCGUAAAGAGCGUGUAGGCGGCCAGGUAGGUCUGCUGUGAAAACUCGAGGCUUAACCUCGAGAUGUCGGCGGAAACCAUCUGGCUAGAGUCCGGAAGAGGAGAAUGGAAUUCCCGGUGUAGCGGUGAAAUGCGUAGGAUAAUCUGGAGGAACACCGGUGGCGAAGGCGGCAUCCUGGACCGG
rnacentral:rRNA from 1 species